CUCCUCGUCACCAGCAGAUGGCGCAGUUCUACACUGUCCCUCCUCGUCACCAGCAGCAGAUUUACUCCAGGUGGAGCGAGCAAGCAGUGCCUUUCUUUGAAAUUACUGGUGAAUAAAAGUUGUGUGAACCAUU